rnacentral:rRNA from 1 species
UGAGGAAUAUUGGUCAAUGGGCGGAAGCCUGAACCAGCCAUGCCGCGUGCAGGAAGGAGGCCCUACGGGUUGUAAACUGCUUUUACCCGGGAAGAAACCGCCCCCUGUGGGGGGCGUUGCCGGUACCGGGGGAAAAAGGAUCGGCUAACUCCGUGCCAGCAGCCGCGGUAAUACGGAGGAUCCGGGCGUUAUCCAGAAUUACUGGGUUUAAAGGGUGCGUAGGCGGGGCUUUAAGCCGGCGGUGAAAUGCAGCGGCUCAACCGCUGGAAUGCGGUUGGGACUGGGGCUCUAGGAUACGGUCGGGGCGGGUGGAACUCGUGGUGUAGCGGUGAAAUGCAUAGAUAUCACGAGGAACGCAGGUAGCGAAGGCAGCUCGCCGGGCCGGUAUUGACGCUGAGGCACGAAAGCGUGGGGAUCGAACAG